UUUUACUUUGAUGUAAAAUAGAUUUUAACAGCAUUUAACAAAUUUAAUUAUAAACUACGAGAAAAUAGUCCGAAUUUAACGAAGUACAACUUGUGGAUAAUGGCUGUUGACAUGAUGAUGCAAGCUCGCCAGGCCCAGUGAUUAAAACCAAUGUUAAGCUUGAUUUAGCCACUGCAGUAUAAGGAGAGAAGCAGACCAGAAACCUUUGACUAAAGCAAAGAUGAUAUGCAUAACAAAAGCAGUUGAAUAAUUCACAAGAGUCCAAAGUUUUGAUGACCAUGCAGAGUCGAGAUAUUGUAACAAAGACAUGCCUGCAUUAAGAAGACUGUUCACUUAAUUUUUCAGAAUAAAGUGUCAGAUUGAAAUCCAUCUUAUGUUGGACUAAACAAUCAGGACAUUCUUCUGGAUCACAGGUAGCACAAAGUAUUGACAAAACCAAAGAUUACCUGGUAGUCUGCAAAUGGAGUGAUCAUUGGAUGAGCCACAACAAGAUUUUCCUCGGAA